UCAAAUCCAAUCAAAUCAAUUCAAAUUAAAUUAAAUUAAAUCAAAUCAAAUCAAAUCAAAUCAAAUUCAAUGAAAUCAAAUCAAAUUAAAUCAAAUCAAAUCACAUCAAAACAAAAUAAGAUAAAAUAAAAUAAAAUCAAAUAAGACAAAUAAAAUAAAAAGAAAGUCUAAUCGAUCAAGAAUCGCACACAUAAAAUAGUUCUACCAUGAGUCCCCGGCAGCGGCGCCAAAAACUUAUUGACAAAUUGGCAAGCGUACCAAAUCGUUCAAGUAAUAAUAAAAUGGUAAGUCCAAGUAUCGUUUUCCCAAGAGACUCACGGCACUAAACUGUUGUGCUUUUGCUUAACCAAUCAAAACUAUAAAAAUAGUAUUUUGGGAUUUUCUAUAAAGUAAAGAAAAAUAAACAUGAAUGCAAUUUGAUCAAUUGAACUUAACCACA
rnacentral:lncRNA from 1 species